ensembl:lncRNA
GUAUUUUACUUUCAGCAUAGUAAGACUGGUCUAUAGAAUCUGACUGCUCUAGAAAACCGUAUGACCUUGGGCAAAUCUUCCUUGUGUCUCAGUUUUCUUAACUGUAAGAUGGAAAUAGCAGUAGUAUCUAUCCCAUAGAUCUGUUUAACACUUACUAUAGAAGUGCUAUGUGCUGUAUUAUCAUGUUGUUCUUGCUAAGAAUCAUUUAGCUCCAGCUUCCUGCCCCCAGUGCUGGGGACUGACCCCAAGUCCUCAAGUGGCAUGCACUCAACACUGAGCUACACCCGCAGCCCGUCUAUUUUUUAUUUACUAUCCAAGGACAUAGCUCCCUUAAACACAGUCAAGAAGCUUUCUACAGGUUGACUCACAUUUAACAACGAACUUCCAGGUCAAGGAAUAUGCUGGGAUUAUAGUUUCUUCUCUACAGGACCACAGGCAAAACCACUGGACUGGGGAUUGAACCGAGGGACAUUCUACCAAUGAGCUACAUCUCCAGCCCUUUUUAUUUUUUUAUUUUGAGACAGGGUCUAACUAAGUUGCCCAGGCUGGCUUCAAACUUGAAAUCCUCUUGCCUCAUCCUCUAAAGUACUAGGAUUACAGGCAUGGACCACCACAUCCAGCCAGUUAUGUUGAUUCUUAGACAUUAUAACACACUUGUCAAGAACUAUUAAAAGUCUGAGAUUUUGUCUCAUUUGCAAACUAACAAAUUUUCCUACCAUGCUCAUGGGUGUUGGCAGAAGACAUGAGACUCCUGGGUCAAUCCAAAGAAGAUGGAAG